rnacentral:rRNA from 1 species
UUUAGUUAAGUUAGAAAGGGCGCACGGUGGAUGCCUUGGCACUAGGAGCCGAUGAAGGACGGGACAAACACCGAUAUGCUUCGGGGAGCUGUAAGUAAGCGUUGAUCCGGAGAUUUCCGAAUGGGGG